UACGGAAGGGGGCUAGCGUUGCUCGGAAUCACUGGGCGUAAAGCGCACGUAGGCGGAUUGCUAAGUCAGGGGUGAAAUCCUGGAGCUCAACUCCAGAACUGCCUUUGAUACUGGCGAUCUCGAGUUCGGGAGAGGUGAGUGGAACUGCGAGUGUAGAGGUGAAAUUCGUAGAUAUUCGCAAGAACACCAGUGGCGAAGGCGGCUCACUGGCCCGAUACUGACGCUGAGGUGCGAAAGCGUGGGGAGCAAACAGG
rnacentral:rRNA from 1 species